rnacentral:piRNA from 1 species
UUUUUUCAUAUUCAGGUCGUG